rnacentral:rRNA from 1 species
UACGGGGGGGGCAAGCGUUGUCCGGAAUCAUUGGGCGUAAAGAGCGUGUAGGCGGUCCGGUAAGUCCGCUGUGAAAGUCGGGGGCUCAACCCUCGAAUGCCGGUGGAUACUGUCGGGCUAGAGUGCGGAAGAGGCGAGUGGAAUUCCUGGUGUAGCGGUGAAAUGCGCAGAUAUCAGGAGGAACACCGAUUGCGAAGGCAGCUCGCUGGGACGUCACUGACGCUGAGACGCGAAAGCGUGGGGAGCAAACAGG